ACUGACAGCCAUGGUUACCGCGGCUGCUGGCACGGAGUUAGCCGGUGCUUCUUCUGUGAGUGAUGUCCUUCCUGCCGGCUAUUAACCCGCAGGCCUUCUUCCUCACUGAAAGUGCUUUACAACCCGAAGGCCUUCUUCACACACGCGGCAUGGCUGGAUCAGGGUUGCCCCCGAUUGUCCAAUAUUCCCCACUGCUGCCUCCCGUAGGAGUCUGGGCCGUGUCUCAGUCCCAGUGUGGCUGAUCAUCCUCUCAGACCAGCUACGGAUCGUCGCCUUGGUGAGCCGUUACCUCACCAACCAGCUAAUCCGACAUAGGCUCAUCCGAUAGCGCGAGGCCCGAAGGUCCCCCGNUUUCCCCCGGUAGGGCGUAUGCGGUAUUAGCCUGGGUUUCCCCAGGUUAUCCCCCGACUACCGGGCAGAUUCCUAUGCAUUACUCACCCGUCCGCCGCUCGCCACCAGGGAGCAAGCUCCCCGGUGCUGCCGCUCGACCUUGCAUGUGUUAGGCCUGCCGCCAGCGUUCAAU
rnacentral:rRNA from 1 species